GACAGGGGUCUCGAGCGUUAAUCGGAAUUACUGGGCUUAAAGGGUGCGUAGGUGGGUCCGCAAGUGCUCCGUGAAAUCCCCCGGCUCAACCGGGGAACUGCGGGGCAUACUGCGGGUCUUGAGGAAGGUAGGCGCCGAGGGAACAGUAGGUGGAGCGGUGAAAUGCGUAGAUAUCUACUGGAACGCCGAUGGUGAAGACGCUCGGCUGGGCCUUUCCUGACACUGAGGCACGAAAGCGUGGGGAGCAAACAGG
rnacentral:rRNA from 1 species